UACGUAGGGUGCGAGCGUUUGCCCGGAUUUAUUGGGCGUAAAGGGCGCGUAGGCGGUGAGAUGCGUCCGUUGUGAAAUCGCCCGGCUCAACUGGGCGGGGUCAGCGGAUACGGUCUCACUCGAGCAAGCUAGGGGGCAAUGGAAUUCCCGGUGUAGUGGUGGAAUGCGUAGAUAUCGGGAGGAACACCAGUGGCGAAGGCGGUUGCCUGGGCUUUGGCUGACGCUGAGGCGCGAAAAGCGUGGGGAGCGAGUCGGA
rnacentral:rRNA from 1 species